GAUAGAGAGUGAGAGAGCAGGAAGAGAGAGAGGGUGAGAGAGAGAGAGAGAGAGAGAGAGGAGGGUGAGAGAGAGAGAGAGAGAGCAGGAAGAGAAAGAGAGAGCGAGGGAAGGGGAGGGAGAGAAAGAGAGGUUGUGCGUUCGGCUGAGCAAACAUCAUUACCUUGUUCAGGUCUUUGAGAUGCUCCUUUGCUUAUGGCUAGCUUGCUUAAAGACCAGAGCGCUCCGGUCCAAAUGAGCACUAGUGCUUGGGUUGUGGAAUGCGUGUGUGCGUGUCCGUGUGUGCGUGUGUGUUGUGGUGCGAUGUGAUUUUCUCUUCUCUUCCAAAAACGCCUCGGGUGUAUCCCCUCCCAGAAUGCAAGGGCAGUGUUGAUCACUCCCAGCUUGUCGUUUCUCUAAGUGACCAUCUGGGCCCUUCCGUGUAUAAUGUUGUUGUUGUGCGAGGCAGCCGUCCCUGCCUUUCGCCUUCCUCCUCCGAAACCUGUCUGAGUGAGCGCACAAUGCUUUGUCAUGAAGAUCCUCUCCCUUUUUCAAUAAUAGGGCUUUGGGCCCGUCGGGGCUGUUCCUGCGUCCGUCAAUUGUCUUCGUUAAGGUAGAAGCAGACCACGACAGAAAAGAAAAUCACUAGCUUGGCGGUUAGCGAGCAUGUAAUUAGGGAGGCGGUGGAGUUUCGCGGAGGUUAAUGCUAGCGCUACAGUUUCUAGUCGUUCGCUGGUCAGACUCGCUUCUAACGGGUCUGUUUCGUUAAUGGCUCAGAGGCGGCCAGUGGGUGGGGGGCGCGAUCUAACCCUAACCCCAUUGGUGGGUGAGGUCUUGUGUCAUGCGUUUGGCGAAAGCGUUAUCAGAAGUCAGGCUAAGUCAGCUUAAAGUCAACCUCGCGUGUCGGAGUUCGGUUUAGGAGGCGCUGCAACCGCUGAGUUAUUUGUUCAACAAUGUGUGACUGAUGGCUUUUUAAUGGAACAUGUAAAUAUAUUCGGGGAUAAUUCGUCGGCCAAAUCAAGUAAUCAUGUUUCCAGCCGCCGCUGUAGAACAAAUUGCUUACACUGCGUAGGUGCCGCGACGCGUAAUUCGUUAACAUACUUAAAUUAAUUAUACAAGCUUAACACACAGACACGACACCGUGCGAACAUGACAGUUGGUGAUGUACAACCAGGUGCCCCGGGUCCUGCUUUACUGGUUUCUAUCGUGUUCCACUGCUGCAGGAAGGAAUUCUGGGUAAUGUAGGAAAAUAAUACAGGAAAUUGUCUGGCAGGAUUGCCUUUGGAAUUGGAUGUUACACAAAAUGUUACACAUAUCGGAAAAUCCCUCCAGAAAUGAGCGUCACCUCUCAACAGUACAAUCUAGCAUACAUCCGUGUGUUUUUGUCUGUUUUAGCCUUUUGUGUCUUGCAAGUGAAUGUUUAUAUUCAGAUUUGUUCAAAUAAAACAACAGAAUCACAUUUGUUCUCAAAUAAUACACAUUUAUUGUUUGUUUUUCAAUCAUUUUUCUUUUAUAAUUGUAUUUUUACCUCCACUGAAUCAUCACACACACACACACACACACACACACACGCAUGCAUGCACAUUCACACACACGUGCACUCACACACACGCACACACACACACACGCACACAAUUAGGCACCUGGGCCAGCGCGUUGAGGUACGCUCCCGGUGAACAGAUGGCCCCGGUUUUCUCACCUCCGUCCGCGGCGGCGGCGGUGGCGGUGAUGAUGUCACCAGCAAAUGUCCCGCUAGCUCUCCCGCACGGCGCCCGGGAGCGCGGCGUCCAUCAGACGCUAACGGCAUAUGGCGC
ensembl:lncRNA